GACGAACGCUGGCGGCGUGCCUAAUACAUGCAAGUAGAACGCUGAAGGAGGAGCUUGCUCUUCUGGAUGAGUUGCGAACGGGUGAGUAACGCGUAGGUAACCUGCCUGGUAGCGGGGGAUAACUAUUGGAAACGAUAGCUAAUACCGCAUAACAGUAGAUGUUGCAUGACAUUUGCUUAAAAGGUGCAAUUGCACCACUACCAGAUGGACCUGCGUUGUAUUAGCUAGUUGGUGGGGUAACGGCUCACCAAGGCGACGAUACAUAGCCGACCUGAGAGGGGGAUCGGCCACACUGGGACUGAGACACGGCCCAGACUCCUACGGGAGGCAGCAGUAGGGAAGCUUCGGCAAUGGACGGAAGUCUGACCGAGCAACGCCGCGUGAGUGAAGAAGGUUUUCGGAUCGUAAAGCUCUGUUGUAAGAGAAGAACGAGUGUGAGAGUGGAAAGUUCACACUGUGACGGUAUCUUACCAGAAAGGGACGGCUAACUACGUG
rnacentral:rRNA from 1 species